rnacentral:rRNA from 1 species
GCGAAACCUUUACACUGCACGCCAGUGCGAUAAGGGGAUCCCAAGUGCGCAGGCAUAGAGCCUGCGCUUUUGUACACCGUAGGGAGGUGUACGAAUAAGGGCUGGGCAAGACCGGUGCCAGCCGCCGCGGUAAUACCGGCAGCCCGAGUGAUGGCCGAUCUUAUUGGGCCUAAAGCGUCCGUAGCUGGCCGCGCAAGUCCAUCGGAAAAUCCACCCGCUCAACGGGUGGGCGUCCGGUGGAAACUGCGUGGCUUGGGACCGGAAGGCGCGACGGGUACGUCCGGGGUAGGAGUGAAAUCCCGUAAUCCUGGACGGACCGCCGAUGGCGAAAGCACGUCGCGAGGACGGAUCCGACAGUGAGGGACGAAAGCCAGGGUCUCGAACCGGAUUAGAUACCCGGGUAGUCCUGGCCGUAAACAAUGUCUGUUAGGUGUGGCUCCCACUACGAGUGGGUGCUGUGCCGUAGGGAAGCCGCUAAACAGACCGCCUGGGAAGUACGUCCGCAAGGAUGAAACUUAAAGGAAUUGGCGGGGGAGCACUACAACCGGAGGAGCCUGCGGUUUAAUUGGAAUC